CGCGUUCUUUCAGCGAUCGGCCGCGUGUCUGGGAAGCAUGGCGCCACGGUUGGGCGCAGCACCGCUGAGCAGCCCUCUAGGCUUUGGGUGAUGAUAAGCCUUUCUCUAGCUUCUGGGGAGAUGAGAAGCAGAGCUGCAGGAUGCAGUUUAAAAGUAACGGAACCGCAAAAUGAGAAGAGAUGGAUGCAAGCAGGACCUGGGGGUGGUCACCAGAAAGCAGAGAUGGCGUGAUGUCCCGGCACAUCCACCUCAUAAGUUGUUCGAAGUUAAAUUGAACUAUCCAUGGUAUUGGCUGUGGACUUGUGAAACCCAUCAUCUUAAAAUAUUGACCUUAAGAAUUUUUGUGAUGAAAUUUCUAUAA
rnacentral:lncRNA from 1 species